GUUUUUUCUGCAGAAAGAAGGAAAGCCUCUGUAAAGAUCCGUGGCUACUUGGAAUAAAUCAGCUGGUUUUAGUUAGACAGAUGUCAUAUAAAUAGACCUAUUCAUUCAAGUUAUUGUAUGUCUUCAUAUUAUAAACCAUAAAUUGAUAUACCAUUUGAAAAUUACAAAUGAGAUGUUGUGUUAAUAAAGUAAUAGAAUGUAAAGUACUCCAAGCAACACUGUGUGUACGCUUAUCAAACAAACAGAAGUAUAGUGCUUCUUUUCAAGCUGCAUAUUAGAAAUUUCAGUGCUUUUUUUAUAAAAGCCCUUGCAAAGAAGAAAUUGUUUCCAAUCAAUUGGGAAAGCGUGCAAUCGAUAUAUAUUCAGUGAUUGGAUUCAGUUACAACAAAAUGUAACAGAAAAUCUAGAAAAUACUAACAUAAGCCCUUGAAAGUAAAAAACUACACGAUGCUGCAGUAUGCAAACCAUUCACAAAGUGCAUACUGCUAAUAUCCCAUUAAGGUGAGUUUGUUUUCUACAGAUAUUCUAAAAAGCAUUGUUUUCAGUGAUUUUCCUGGGCAUGUUUUUCAUCCAAUGUUCCAUAUCCAAUAUUCCAACCAUUUUUAAAAUCGCUUUAACUGCCAUGAAAAUAUUCUAAGUGCUAAUAUAGUUCAAAUACUAAGUGCCUAUAGUAUUCCAAAACAUUUUUGUUGGAAUUCCUUUAAAUGCAUUUUUCCAUUGAGAUCUGGUUAAUUCAGCUUGCUUAUAUUUCCUUUGUUUUGAUAAUAUAUUUCCUUUGUCUGAUGGCUUUGAAUCGUCUAUGCCACUAGCUUGGGUCACAAAAGAUGACUAGAAAUGCGUUAAUUGAUGAGCGCGAGCGAUCCAAUGCUUGUAUGGUUGGGUUUGCAAGAGUGCUAACAGGAUCACGAGUAAUCACUUGCAUCAAAUGAAAAGGCCGGCAACAAAGAGGCACACAUGGCUAUGCUAUGAAAUAGAAGUGGCAUAAUGGAAACCGCUUUAUGUUA